GAUGAACGCUGGCGGUGUGCUUAACACAUGCAAGUCGAGCGAAGCACUUAUGAAAGAUUCUUCGGAUGAUUUCAUUUGUGACUGAGCGGCGGACGGGUGAGUAACGCGUGGGUAACCUGCCUCAUACAGGGGGAUAACAGUUGGAAACGACUGCUAAUACCGCAUAAGCGCACAGUACCGCAUGGUACCGUGUGAAAAACUCCGGUGGUAUGAGAUGGACCCGCGUCUGAUUAGCUAGUUGGUGGGGUAACGGCCUACCAAGGCGACGAUCAGUAGCCGACCUGAGAGGGUGACCGGCCACAUUGGGACUGAGACACGGCCCAAACUCCUACGGGAGGCAGCAGUGGGGAAUAUUGCACAAUGGGGGAAACCCUGAUGCAGCAACGCCGCGUGAGUGAAGAAGUAUUUCGGUAUGUAAAGCUCUAUCAGCAGGGAAGAAAAUGACGGUACCUGACUAAGAAGCCCCGGCUAACUACGUGCCAGCCGCCGCAGUAA
rnacentral:rRNA from 1 species